rnacentral:tRNA from 1 species
GUCCCAGUGGUCUAAUGGCUAAGCUACUGGUCUUCUAAACCAGAGAGCUUAGGUUUGAAUACCUUCUAGGGCA